CAGUCGCCGCGGUAAUACGUAGGUGGCAAGCGUUGUCCGGAAUUAUUGGGCGUAAAGCGCGCGCAGGCGGAUCAGUUAGUCUGUCUUAAAAGUUCGGGGCUUAACCCCGUGAGGGGAUGGAAACUGCUGAUCUAGAGUAUCGGAGAGGAAAGUGGAAUUCCUAGUGUAGCGGUGAAAUGCGUAGAUAUUAGGAAGAACACCAGUGGCGAAGGCGACUCUCUGGACGAAAACUGACGCUGAGGCGCGAAAGCCAGGGGAGCGAACGGGAUUAGAUACCCCGGUAGUCCCUGUCUCUUAUACA
rnacentral:rRNA from 1 species